AUUUUCAUAAGCAUGUUUAAGGCUUAAGUAUGAAUAAAAACCUCAAUAGACAAAACAUUUCAUUAAAACUUGCGUGUGACAAAUACUGUAUAUUUCAAAAUCUAACUCAUAUUUGUUUUUAAAUCACGCAUGAAAAUGUACAUUAAAAAAAAUUGUUGCAUCGAGAUACAUUGAUAAUUGGUUAAGAAUUCAAUUGUUGGCAUCUGAAUGGAAAGGUGCCAAGAGAUUCCCACCCCUGGUGGGCACUUGCAAGUUUGCAUACUAGAAUGGAGAGCUAUACGAGUAUGGUGGUUAAAAGUUAUUUAUGUAAACUGCUGCUUUUAUUGAUGAUGUAGAGCUUAUAAAUCCCCUGCUAGCCCACGAUUAGAGCCUGUGAGAUCCCUCUAUCCUGUGCAUAGUUGACGGAACUUUCUCUAUCUCUGCUUUCCCAGGGACUAGUUUAUUAAAGAAUAUAUACUUUACUACGGAGGUGGACAACCUGCGGUCCUCCAGGAAAUAGAAUUAUUUGGACAUGUUUUAACAUAGUCCUUUUGAGUUUUAGGACACCUUUUUGUUUGUCACACAGUUUGUCAAAAAAGUGUCAUAAAACCGCCAAUGUGUUACAAGGCCGCUCUCAAGUAUUUGGUCUCGUUCACAUAAUGUGUUUAAAAAAAACAAUCGUUAAUCAGCAACAAGAACAAAUCAGAUUAGAGAUCAGAUCAAAAUCUUUAUUAUGAAUUACUAUUAGACAUUAAAAUGUUAACAUUCUCUGUACAACAUACAUAGUGUUAAUGUUGUAACAGUGUUGUGUGCAGCGCAUGAAAAUGUUCUGCUGAAAUUAGAAAGUCUGACAUUUAGAAAAAGUCUGAAUGUCUGCCUCACUAGUGUGCUAUUUCUCUCGUUAACUAACCACUGAAUAAAAAUGUGGCCACCUAACCAAUUUUAAUUUUCCAAGAAAUCAAGAGUUUAAAGAGAGAAAAUCAUAACAGUAGUUUUGUGUAUUCAGAUUGGGUUCUAAGCCAAUUAUACCAUGGUAGAUCAGUAAUUAAUAAAUCCAUUGCUGUUGUGAACAAUUCCAUUAUUUGUCAUCUCUCAGAUGUAGAGAUGACAAAACGGAGUGUGUGCAAACAUAUCCGUACAAAACAUUGUAAGUGUAAAACAGAGUAAUACACUUUGACAAAAACGGUAUGAUUUGAUCUUACAACCAUAUUAACAAUAGUCACACCUUUGUCACUGUGUUUUGCA